UACGUAGGGUGCGAGCGUUAAUCGGAAUUACUGGGCGUAAAGCGUGCGCAGGCGGUUUGUUAAGCCAGAUGUGAAAGCCCCGGGCUCAACCUGGGAACUGCGUUUGGUACUGGCAAGCUAGAGUACGGCAGAGGGGGGUGGAAUUCCACGUGUAGCAGUGAAAUGCGUAGAGAUGCGGAGGAACACCGAUGGCGAAGGCAGCCCCCUGGGCCGAUACUGACGCUCAGGCACGAAAGCGUGGGGAGCAAACAGG
rnacentral:rRNA from 1 species